UACGAAGGUCCCGAGCGUUGUUCGGAAUCACUGGGCGUAAAGGGAGCGUAGGCGGCGUGGUAAGUCAGAUGUGAAAUCCCCGGGCUCAACCUGGGAAUGGCAUUUGGGACUGCAAGGCUGGAGUGCGGCAGAGGAGACUGGAAUUCCUGGUGUAGCAGUGAAAUGCGUAGAUAUCAGGAGGAAUACCGAUGGCGAAGGCAGGUCUCUGGGCUGACACUGACGCUCAUGCACGAAAGCGUGGGGAGCAAACAGG
rnacentral:rRNA from 1 species